rnacentral:rRNA from 1 species
CUCUGCGCAAGGGAUCUUUUGGUUCGC